UACAGAGGGCUCAAGCGUUGUCCGGAUUUAUUGGGCGUAAAGGGCGUGUAGGUGGCGCGGUAAGUCGGGUGUGAAAUUUCGGAGCUUAACUCCGAAACUGCAUUCGAUACUGCGGUGCUUGAGGACUGGAGAGGAGACUGGAAUUCAUGGUGUAGCAGUGAAAUGCGUAGAGAUCAUGAGGAAGACCAGUGGCGAAGGCGGGUCUCUGGACAGUUCCUGACACUGAGACACGAAGGCCAGGGGAGCAAACGGG
rnacentral:rRNA from 1 species